AGUGGCGGACGGGUGAGUAAUGCUUGGGAAUCUGGCUUAUGGAGGGGGAUAACUACGGGAAACUGUAGCUAAUACCGCGUAGAAUCGAGAGAUGAAAGUGUGGGACCGCAAGGCCACAUGCCAUAAGAUGAGCCCAAGUGGGAUUAGGUAGUUGGUGGGGUAAAGGCCUACCAAGCCGACGAUCUCUAGCUGGUCUGAGAGGAUGACCAGCCACACUGGAACUGAGACACGGUCCAGACUCCUACGGGAGGCAGCAGUGGGGAAUAUUGCGCAAUGGGGGGAACCCUGACGCAGCCAUGCCGCGUGAAUGAAGAAGGCCUUCGGGUUGUAAAGUUCUUUCGGUGAUGAGGAAGGGUGGUGUUUUAAUAGAGCACUACAUUGACGUUAGUCACAGAAGAAGCACCGGCUAACUCCGUGCCAGCAGCCGCGGUAAUACGGAGGGUGCGAGCGUUAAUCGGAAUAGCUGGGCGUAAAGGGCACGCAGGCGGUGACUUAAGUGAGAUGUGAAAUCCCCGAGCUUAACUUGGGAACUGCAUUUCAGACUGGGUUGCUAGAGUAUUUUAGGGAGGGGUAGAAUUCCACGUGUAGCGGUGAAAUGCGUAGAGAUGUGGAGGAAUACCGAAGGCGAAGGCAGCCCCUUGGGAAUAUACUGACGCUCAUGUGCGAAAGCGUGGGGAGCAAACAGGAU
rnacentral:rRNA from 1 species